rnacentral:rRNA from 1 species
GACGAACGCUGGCGGCGUGCUUAACACAUGCAAGUCGAACGGAAAGGCCCUGCUUUUGUGGGGUGCUCGAGUGGCGAAUGGGUGAGUAACACGUGAGUAACCUGCCCUUGACUUUGGGAUAACUUCAGGAAACUGGGGCUAAUACCGGAUAGGAGCUCCUGCUGCAUGGUGGGGGUUGGAAAGUUUCGGCGGUUGGGGAUGGACUCGCGGCUUAUCAGCUUGUUGGUGGGGUAGUGGCUUACCAAGGCUUUGACGGGUAGCCGGCCUGAGAGGGUGACCGGCCACAUUGGGACUGAGAUACGGCCCAGACUCCUACGGGAGGCAGCAGUGGGGAAUAUUGCACAAUGGGCGGAAGCCUGAUGCAGCAACGCCGCGUGCGGGAUGACGGCCUUCGGGUUGUAAACCGCUUUCGCCUGUGACGAAGCGUGAGUGACGGUAAUGGGUAAAGAAGCACCGGCUAACUACGUG